CCUACGGGAGGCAGCAGUGGGGAAUUUUCCGCAAUGGGCGAAAGCCUGACGGAGCAAUACCGCGUGAGGGAAGAAUGCCUACGGGUUGUAAACCUCUUUUAUCAGGGAGGAACAAAAUGACGUGUACCUGAUGAAUAAGCAUCGGCUAACUCUGUGCCAGCAGCCGCGGUAAGACAGAGGAUGCAAGUGUUAUCCGGAAUUACUGGGCGUAAAGCGUCUGUAGGUUGUUGAACAAGUCAACUGUUAAAUCUUGAAGCUCAACUCCAAAAUCGCAGUCGAAACUGUUUGACUAGAGUAUAGUAGAGGUAAAGGGAAUUUCCAGUGGAGCGGUGAAAUGCGUAGAUAUUGGAAAGAACACCGAUGGCGAAAGCACUUUACUGGGCUAUUACUGACACUCAGAGACGACAGCUAGGGUAGCAAAUGGGAUUAGAUACCCCAGUAGUCCUAGCCGUAAACUAUGGAUACUAGAUGUUGAACAGAUCGACCUGUGCAGUAUUAAAAGCUAACGCGUUAAGUAUCCCGCCUGGGAAGUAUGCUCGCAAGAGUGAAACUCAAAGGAAUUGACGG
rnacentral:rRNA from 1 species